GGUUGCGACCAUGUCACGUUGACAGCACGCCAUACCGUCCGAUCUGGCAAGUUUGGUAACGUUGGGCAUGGUUAGUGUCUGGAUCGGAGACCGUUUGGAGAAUUUGAGUGUCGCGAGAU
rnacentral:rRNA from 1 species